rnacentral:rRNA from 1 species
UAAGCAUAUCAAUAAGCGGAGGAAAAGAGAMCAACAGGGAUUGCCUCAGUAACGGCGAGUGAAGCGGCAAAAGCUCAGAUUUGAAAUCUGGUAUCAUUUUGGUGCCCGAGUUGUAAUCUGUAGAGGAGUAUUCGAGUGUAGCUCUGGCUUAAGUUCCUUGGAACAGGGCGUCAUAGAGGGUGAGAACCCCGUUAACGGCCUCAGUCUUAUGCUCAUGUGAAUCUUCUUCAACGAGUCGAAUUGUUUGGGAAUGCAGUUCUAAAUGGGUGGUAAAUUCCAUCUAAAGCUAAAUACUGGCAAGAGACCGAUAGCGCACAAGUAGAGUGAUCGAAAGAUGAAAAGAACUCUGAACAGAGAGUUAAACAGUACGUGAAAUUGUUGAAAGGGAAGCACUUGCUACCAGACACACUUGCAGUUGAUCAACCCCCAUUUUUUGGUGGUGCACUCAGCUGUAGGUGGGCCAGCAUCAGUUAUUAGCGGUGGGAUAAAGACCUUGGGAAUGUGGCUUCCUUCGGGGAGUGUUAUAGCCCUUGGUGUAAUACCAUCUGUUGUGACUGAGGACCGCGCUUUUUUGUGAGGAUGCUGGCAUAAUGGUCGUAAGUGACCC